rnacentral:lncRNA from 1 species
AGUAAUUUAUAUAACAAUUUCCACUCUACAUAAGCUCAAGGAAGAAAUGUGCUGAAAGUAUUAAACUGCUAUCAAUGAGAGACUAAGACUGUACAUGGGAUUUUAGCAGAAUCUUCAAUGUGAUUCAUAGGACACCAAGACUUUGAAAUACUAAGAAAAGGAUUACCAAAUUAAUUUGCUCAGACUAUCAAUUGGUUCCAAUUGCAAAAAAAAGAGAACUUUCAAAAUGAAUUCAUUGAGUUUGAGGUAAGUGAAAUAUUGAAAAUUUAUUAUAAAAAAAUAUCCUAAUAUCAUCACAUUUUGAUACCAUCCAGAUUUUAGUAGAUAAAGGGCUCUAACCAGUUUAAGCAGUUGUAUUUUAUAUUUGACUGUUCAAUAUAGACUCCUCAUUAUACAGAAUACCAUUUAAUAGAAUCAUGUGAAGUUUAUGAAGGAUAGAUAUAGAAAUUUUUCAAUGAAGUGGGAAACUAAUCUUUGGAAUUUAACUAUUUGUAUUUACUGGGUGACAUAUAUUGGCUGGAAGUUGCUUCUUUAUGAACCAAACCAGAAUGAACUUGUGCAGGCAUCAGCAAGCUAGAUUCUUUAUGGUGGAAAUAGGUUAUUAAAAUUUAGUUUUAGCAUGCAGUGAAGACAUCAAAACUUUUACUAACAUGCAUGUUUUUAAAUUUUCAGGUUUGAAUGACUAAAACUACAGGGACCAACAAAUACAUAAUCUCUCUGUAACUAUAACCUGUAAUAUUUCAUGACUGGCAGGUUUGGAAGGUGUUGAUUAAAAUUUGCAACAUAAAAUAUUUAAUUUAUAAUAUAAAAUAUCAUCUAUCAUUUAAAAGUGAAAAACGAUUAGUAUUAUAAAACUUUAUUAUUCAACUCAAUUUACCAUCAAACCAAUUAGAAAUCACUAAAAUUCCUUUGCUGUGUCUCAUUUUGGGAAUAAAUUCCUAAAGCAACUGUAAUCAGAUUUAUUUCUUCUGUUCUUUCUUUGUGAUACAAGUUUGCCAGAAAAUUCAACUUCUCUUGUGUCAAUCUUGACCAAAAACAUAACUAUUUUUCUCUGUGGCUUGUAAAAUCUGCAUUAAAGGAAGAUCAGGUAUUGGAAGUAAGGGAGGAAGUUAACAUCAUGUGAAAAAGCACAACUGGACAUAUAUAGUACCGUUUACCUGAACACAAACAUCUUGGCAUUCAUCUAAAAACUUCAUGGAACCCAAAAGUUGUUCAUUAAUCCAAACUCCAGCAAAACCCUUUACAGAAUGUCCUGUGGUAUGAGUAAUAAACUUUUAUAAUCACUAUUGUUUUGUACUUUUAAUAUUUUAUGUUACAAAUUGAUAUUUUGCAUUGCAAAUUUUAAUCAACACCUUCCAAACCUGUGAGCUACACAUUCCACAGGGAAAAAGUUUUUUUUGAGAUCUGGAAAAAGAUUCUAGGGAUGUUGGUUUUGACAUCAGGUGAGAAGGGUGAGGCAUACCAGAUUACCUAUCCCCUUCUCUUCUUCUAUCUGUCAUGGGGAUGUGUUAGUAUGGGCAGUUAGGAGUCCUCAUUUUAAUGCCUAUAUGACCUGGUCCUAGGUUCUAGGUUGCACUCUGUCUAGACCUGGAGUUGCAACUCAUUUACUCAACCCUCCCAUGAUUCACAUGCCUAAGGCAUCCCUGGUCAAGGUGGAGCAUGUGCUACUCCAUCCCUGGAGGUCAGGACAUUGCUGUGGCAAAUUGAUGCUCUCAGUGACUUGGUUUCAUUUGCCAUGGGUCCCAAGGUCAAUUGACCUAUGUUGGGAAAGUAAACAGUCAAUAAGUUCUCACCACUAGUUCUGUUAACAUUAUUCAUAUGUUAACAUUCUUUAUACUUUUACAUCCUCCAGGGCCAGUUUAAGCCUGGUGUCUGGGAUAAAAUUAAUUCUAUUAUUGUAUUCAGCUCUCUUAAGUGCUUCAUUAUAGUAUUUCAAGUCAUUGUAGGAAAUCCAUUCAUUGAUGGAAAGGUUGGAAAGCCUAAUUGAGAUACAUUAGUUACAUUAUUUACAUUUGACAGAUAUUUGUCCUAAUCUUGUUUGUUGUUAACACAAAAUUUCGGCUGAUAUACCCUCCAGCCUUCAUCAGGUGUCUUGGGGAAAUUUCGAACCUGGGUUCUCAUUCCUAAGGUAUUUUUCGAUGUUGUUGUUGUUAUUAUUAUUAUUAUUAUUAUUAUUGUUAUUAUUAUUAUCAUCAUCAUCAUCAUUAUUAUUAUUAUUAUUAUUCAGGUCACUGCCUGGAAUCGAACUCAGAAUCUUGGGGUUAGUAGCCUGCGCUCUUAACCACUACGCCAUAUGGCAUAUGGCAUAGUGGUUAAAAGUGCGAGCUACUAACCCCAACAUUCUGAGUUUGAUUCCAAGCAAUGACCUGAAUAAUAAUAAUAAUAAUAAUAAUAAUAAUAAUAAUAAUAAUAAUAACAACAACAACAACAUCAAAAAAUACUUUAGGAAUGAGAGCCCAGGUUUGAAAUUUCCCCAAGACACCUGAUGAAGGCUGAAGAGUAUAUCAGCCAAAACAUUGUGUUCAGAACAAACAAGAUGAGGACAAAUAUCCAUCAAAUGUAAAUAAUGUACAUAAUUCCUCAUCUCUUAAAUAUAGAACCUAAUUGAGAUAUUCUUAACUAAUCCAUCAACAACAUAUCUGGGAUGGUCUAUGAAUGAAAUGGAGGCUCCUGUUAGGUUUGUGGUACAGAUAAUAUGAUCCUGAAUCCAGAUCUACUGUAAUGUAUAGAAAGUUAACCAUUUUACUACACUUUUUGAAAGAUAUAGAAAGAUUAUGAGGUGGGUGUGCUAAGCAGUGAUAUGUAUAAAUGCAAUGUUAUUACCAGUUCAAAUAUGCUAAAAGCAUGUUCAAACUUGUAAACAAGCCAUUCACUGUGUUUUGUUGUCAAGAAAAUUUCUCACUGUAGACAAAUGGUGUAAAUACACCCAAAUCACUUUGCAGCACCACCUAUCCAGAUUGUGAGAUGCAAGCAUUUCAGAGUGGUUAUCUCCUCUUCAGUCACAAAAACCGAGCAGUGGUGCUGUGAGCUGAUAAAAGAGACAAUCUCUUUUAUGUUAUGCCAGUUAACAAAUGUUAGUUGGUAGUGCAACUCAACGUGUAAUUUAAUUACGAUGAGCUGUCAAUUUGCCCUACCAGCCAACAUAUGUUGACUGGAAUAAUAUAAGACAGACUCACUCUCUUAUCAGCUCGCAGUGCCACCAUCUGGUUUCUGUGACCGAAGAGGAAAUAACCACUUCGAAAUGCUUGUAUCUCACAUUUUUUUCUACCUGGCUGGCUCCUGUCAACCAUCCUACCCAUGCAUGAAAAGAAGAUGGACGUUAAACGAUGAUGAUUAUGAUAUCACCUAAUAUAGAAAGAAGGGGGCAUACCAGAUCAGAUAUCUUAGUAAGCUACCGGGUAUCUAUUAAUUAACUUUUUAGUUUGAUUUAUAGGUGCUGUGAAUAUUAUUAUUAGAAUGUAUAAGUUGUUAUUAUAUAAGUUAAAUCAGGUUGUAUACCACGAACUGAUAGUUGUAGGCUAGAAGUUCAGAUGAUAUGUUCCUUCAUUAUCAUGUAUCAUACAAAUAAUUAUUGUUACUCAGUAUAAAGAUUAAUUAUGGAAAGAACUUAGUGGAAUUGGGAAAUCUCGCUAGGGUGUAUAGGUUGCUAUUUUAUAGGUUAGAAACGAUCGUAUACUGCAAAUACACAAUAUUAGGUAAAUCUACAAGGGGUGAUGUUACUGUUACUAAGGUCGUUACCAUUACUUGCUAAACUUGGAGUAAAAGAAUAUGGGUUAUGAGCAUGGCCAUAAGGGAUUAUGCCAUCGGAUUCUGACAUUGAAGGGUUAGGGAUAGGUAGUAUAACAGGUUGGUUAUCAGUACUACUGUGUGCGUUGUAUUCAUUUACCAUAUCAAUAACAAGAAAUGACGUGCGUUGGCUAGAAUUAAGGUUAGUGGAAUGUGUGUCAGAGUUGUGGAUGACCAUGCAAAGGAGAGGUGACGAGAAUGGCUCCUUUAGUACACCACACGGUAGAUACAAUAAAUGCAAAAUGGAUGAAUGAGUAUAAGUGCCAGAAGGAAAAGAGAGACACAACCGAGUAGAAUAUUUAAGAGAAGAUUUUAUUGAUAGAUUAACGUGUAUGCGUCAUAUAUACAUAAUGUGUAUGUAGAAACAUGGAUGUAUGCAUGUGCAUUAAGUCCAGAGCAUUGAAAGAGUCUAUAAUAUGACGUUAGAUGAAUGUACAGACACAAGGAUGAUAAAUACCAGUUCGUAGUCAAGGUACACGAUAGUUGAAGUGCUGUAUCAAGAAGUUGAGGCUGCAAUGCAGAGCCAGUUGAGGCACAUGUCAUGCGUGAAGCUGUGGCUACUAUGCAGAGUCGGUUACUUGGUACAGAAGGUUCUUGCAGGAUGUGUUUGCUGUUAACCAUGGUGAAGUAAUUCAUUAACAGUAUUGAGAUAGAACCUGUGCAAGGGUUGCUGGUUGCUGUGUACAUAGAAAGAUGUUGUUGAUGACGUUAAGGAGUCAGAGGCGACAAAGAUGGAGGUCCUGAAUGCUGCUGGAUGAAGUUAAUGAGUCUCCAUGUGGCUGCUGUUGUGUUGUCACUGGAACUGGCUGUGUGAUCUGUGGUCUGUGGUCAGUGGUUAGAUCUCAAAGGGUCUAGAACUGAAAGAUGAAAGAUGGUGUAAAGCUAGCGUUUUAUACUGUACUAUUGGCUCACCGGAAGUUUGGAAGAGACUGUCUAUGUAACCUUGUCAGAAGGCUGCAAUUGGUUGAGUUGGAUAUUGGCGUGCAAUAGAGCAAGAGACAAACUGCGCCAAUACCACCAUUGACUUCAAGUAUGUAAUUUCCACCAAUAACUCAGGCUCCUUUUAUUGAACCUGGUCGCAGUUCAUUUGUUUUUGCUCAGCAUCUGGUGGUCGUUUAGAGGUGCUCUGUGUCAAAAAAUAUCAUUCGUUGCAGACGUUCUCUCUACAUCAUUCACAUGCCCCUGACGGGCUCAGAGGUUACAGCCUGAGUUGAUAUCUUUAAUUGUAUAUAUUGAAAGUAACCCAAAUUCAAUGUUUUAUUGAAACAAUAUAUUUCUAUAGAGAUUAGGAUUUAAAUUCUAGUCUAUGAAAAUUUCCAUUCUACAAUAUUCUUAAAGGAACGAAAAAUUAUCCAGCAACUAGGGCUAAUAUGAAUGAGCCUGGUAGGAGCAAAAAACUAACUGGCAUCUCUGGUCAAUAGUACAGGCGACAGUCAGAUAGCUGAUGUUUGUUGUGCACUUGCUGCUAUUCUGUGCACCUGUGUGUAAAGAUCAGUAGUGUCUUGCAGGGUUGCUUUAUUUUUACCCUUAACUUAGAAAUGGAGAAAGGCAUAGUGCUAGAUAUAAAGAAAAUAAGCCAUUUGGGGCUAGAAGUACUGCCAUAAAAUGUGAAAUUCUUCGAGGUGAAAUCUCUGAUGAGCCCAAGUGACGCUGAUGACUUGGAGUCACCACUGAUAUAUAUAUAUAUAUAUAUAUAUUUUAUAAAAUCUGUUCUGUCUGUCUGUGCAUGUAUCUUCUAGGAUCUCGGGCAGUGAGGAAGUGAAUGUAAAAUAAAAACCAAUCACACUAAAGGAAGUGCCCAAGAAUGGCCACAGCCUCUGUCUGAAACUAUUAAAGGCAAAAGCAAGCAGUAAUUCUUUUCACACACAAAAAAGAUUGUCCUGAUAUAUUUCAUAGCUCAUUGGCUAGUCAAUAGAUACAUGUUUUCCUCUUACGUGAAUCACCAUAUAUAAUCCCUAAUUCAAUUUCAGUGCUUCAUCAACCAGGCUUUUGAUGAUUAUUAAUGGUACUAUGGAAAUGAAUUGAUUUCGGCAAGGAAUUAAAAAUGGGACUUUGCUCCCUGGGAUCUUGUCUGUUCAAGUAUGAUGUACACUUUUUAUGUAUGAAUUAAGUAGUUGGUCUAAAAUUUCGCUAUUAAAAGUAAUAGUGUCAACAGUAAAUCAGUUUUGUUGACCUACAUUGUUUUCUUAGACAUGAAGUCGAAUUUUAUUACAGUGGAGUGUAAUUUUCUGAAUACUUAAGUAUGUUGCUAAAACUUAUUUUAUUGAUACUGGGAGUAUGAAAGAUGAAGUUUAUUGCAAGGAUAUUUGAAGAUAAAGGGAUAAAAUUAAAUACUUGAAAUCAUCUGAGCAGGUAAUCUUUUGACUUUGUCUACUAAUUUAUCUAAUAUUUGCUAUGUUGUAAUAUACAUUGAUGUAAUUUGUGUUAGGUAGCAUUCUUGUGUUAACAACUGCAGAACAACAUCUGGGUGAAUUUUUCAAAUGUUAAUUAUUUUUUGUCUGUCAGUUACCUCUUACAACUCUUUAUAUUUCAUUGGUAAUACUAAUAAGAAUGAAAAUGAAAUGUUAAAUGACUGUGUGGAUAGUAAAUAGGUUAGCUAUUAUAAAUAAGCAUCCCUAUUAUACUUUGUAACUCAAAUGUUCAAAUGUCAAUGAGUCAGAAAUAUAUUUCAUAAUUAUUUAUUUGGUUCUUUCUGUUUCCUAGGUUUAUAUUCAAGUUUCUCUUUGCCAACUGUUUUACAUUUAUUGCCUGUAAGUAAAGUUUUACUUUUUAUUUUCUCUGAGAUUGAGCAUGGUAGAUAUCAAAUUAUGGAACUUGCAAGCAGUCGUGCUAUAAGCCUAACCUAUAGACAUUUGUUUGUUCAUUCAUUAAACUUUCAUUUUUCCAUGAUAGUGUAAGUUUGGGCACAUUUGAAAUACAAUUAUGCAGUUAGAUUCUUAUUUCUCAAAGGAUUUUGUCAUCCCACAGGUUUUUGAGAGGACAAAGGGACCACUCAUAAUGUCGACCAUUUCACACAAGCAAAGCUGUGGAAUAUCAAUAUUCAUGCUUAUUUGCACUCAUACAGGAGUUGGACAAAAUAAUGGAAACACCUAGCAUCAUAGCAUCAUAAUUUUGAAGUAUCUAUAAAACUGUCAAAAGCUUGUUUAUUUUUAUGUUUUUUGAUUUAUUAUUAGUGUUGCUUAAUAUGGCUUGCUAAAUUACUGUUUCCUUUCAGAUAUCAGAAAAAGGCAAUUAAAAUUCAUUAAAAUGACAGAUCUAUUGGACUUUCAAAGAGGUCAAAUUGUUGGUGCUUAUAUGGCAGGCACGAGUGUAAUGUAAACAGCAAAAAUGUUCAGUGUAUCAAGAAGUACUGUCUUGAAAGUAAUGACAGCCAUUGAGAAAGAAAGAAAAAUCUCCUCAUCGAAACAAAACUCCGAA